rnacentral:lncRNA from 1 species
UUCACUUCUGGAUCACUUACCAUGAUCUCAAAAUCAAGAUAGUAAAAGGAAACUCAUCAUCUUAGUUCCCAAAGUGAGUUCCUCUCCCAACUUUAUUUCUAUCAGUCACUUCAGGUUUGUAGAAGACCAAUUUACCAAUUUAACACCUGCUGGAAUUCCUAAGGAGGGGAAAAUAUCCCCAAUAAGCAGCUGGCAAGCAAGCAAAUAUUUUGCCAACCAAUACUAUCAAGAAAAAAUACAAAGGCAAAAACUAAUAGUAUUCUCGGCCAAAGGAAAUAAUAC